GCAUACCUUGGACUGACUGGUAAAAGAAUUUCAUCGCCAUCUGAUGCACUAUAUGUUGGUCUUGGAACGCAUUACGUUCCAUCUGGGAACUUAGGCUCACUGAAAGAAGGACUCUUGACUGCUGAAUUUUCUGAGGAUCCUCAUCAGGAUAUAAAUACACUCCUAGCAAAAUACAGUAGUGACCCUGAGUCUCCACCAUCAUUGAAGUCACUCUUAUCUCAGAUAACAUCAUCCUUUGGC
rnacentral:misc_RNA from 1 species